UUUUUUUUUUUUUUUUUUUUUUUUCCUUUGAAGGCAGAUGCCGAUUGGAAAUAGCUUCUUGCUUAGGGCUGAGAACUUUUACCAUUUUCUCCCCUCAGCAUUGGGACCCCAUCUGGCUUGAAUCUGUGUGAGCACUGUGUGUGCUGCCACAGUCUCAAUGAGUUCAUAUGUGUGCCAAUCCUUUUCUGUCUGACAAGUAGUUUCCUUAGUUAUCUAACUGCCCUGACUCUUACAUUCUUUUCACUUGCUCUUCCACAUAGCUCCUGAAGCCUUGGGGGAGGGGCAGAGGUUUGAUGAUUAUAUUCCAUUCAGGACUGAAUGCUCCAAAAUUUCUUUCUCUGCACAUUUUGCAGUUGUGGGUCUCCGUGUUAGUUCCCAUCAACUUCAAGAUGAAGGCUCGCUGCCGAUACUGAGCAUCACACUGAUCUAUGAGUAUAGCAGAGUAUCUUUAGGAGACAUUUUUUUUUUUGGCAGUGUUCCUUUAGCAAAACAAUAAUAUUUGGUUUUCCUAGAGGUUCCUGACUUAUCCAGCUUCAGGUUCUUGCCCAAUCAGAUAGUGUCAGCAGGUGUUCUAUUUCCUGGAGUGGGCCUUAAAUCUAACCAGAUAGUGAUUGGUUACUCCUACAACAUCUGUGCCACUAUUAAACCAGCAUAAGAUGCAGACAGGUUAUUGAUGCUGAUUGUAGGGUUUGUACACGGGUUGGUGGCUACUUUCCUUCUCUGUAACAUGCGGAUUACCAUGAAAACUACUCAGUGGGAGUCAAGGCUACCACUUUAAUGAUAAAUCCUAACCUUUGGCUAGGCUCCAUAUCUACUUCUCCAUAUAUAAUUAGAUCUGUAAGUGUUGUCUUCCACAGUAGGGGCAUACCAUUAGCUUAUUAAGAGCAAUUAGUAGCCUUGGAAAUAGCCUGACAUAUUUUGGUGUUUCAAUAGGGCCCCUUUGGCCAAUGAUUCAAAUAGAUAUAACCCAUUAAUGCACAAAAGAUUUCACUUGGUGGCAAAAGGUCUAAUUGACACAUUGUCUCCUCUGUUACUAGGUGACUUCAUUUAGAUUUUGUAUAUAUGCAUUUUAAAAGGAUUCUACAGUAGUAGAUUCCCCUGAAAGGGUCACUAGUUUCAUUAACUCUUCUCAUAUUUCCUCCCUUACCUUUUUUUUUUCCUCUUCCCAUUCAAUAUUCCUGUUCCAGUGUUCCUACAUGUCUUCAUGUAGCAUUCCUAUCUAAUGCUUAAAAGUUAACAUCACUAUAAAAAAUAUAAAAUAUGUUUUAAACAUUGUGUCUCCUUUCUAAUUUCUGGCUAUUUUGGAUAUAGUAGCAAUGAACAUGGUUGAACAAUUAUCUCUGCAGUAAGAUGUAGAAUCCUUUAGUUAUAUAUCAAGAAAAUGAUAAAGCUAGAUCUUGAUGUAAAUCUAUUGUCCAGUUUCUAAAUGACUGUCCCUUUUAUGUCCCUAGUGACUUUUCACAUUUGCACUCUGACUUGAGCAACAAAUGAGUGUAUUCUCCUUACCCAGCAUCCUUUCUAACAUGAAUUGCCAUGUUUUUAUUGAUCUUGACCAUUCUAACUGAUGAAAAAUGAAAUUUCAAAGUAGUUUAGAUUUGGGUCUCCCUGAUGACAAAGGAUGUUGAACACUUUUUUAAAAGUUUUUCUCCAAUAUGUGUCUCUCAUGUUUUGAGAACGUUUUCUUCUUCUAUUAGUUUCAAUGUUUUCUUUUGAGGUCUUUGAUCUAUUUGGAGUUGAGUUUUGUGCAGUGUAAUGAGGACAAAUAUUUAUUUAUUUAUUUAUUUAUUUAUUCCCCUCCCAGUCAACCCUCCAACUGUUCUAUAUCCCAUACCUCCUCCCUGUCCCCUGUCUCUAUGAAGAUGUCCCCUCAAUCUACCACCCUCCCCACCACACCUCUAAACUCGCUGGGGCCUCCAGUCUCUUGAGAGUUAGGUGCAUCAUCUCUGACUGAACUCAGAUCCAGCAGUCCUCUGCUGUAUAUGUGUUGGGAGGUAUCAUAUUAUCUGAUGUAUGUGUGUUACCUGGUUGGUGGUCCAGUGUUUGAGAGAUCUUGGGGGUCCAGGUUAAUUGAGACUGCAGUCCUCUUACAGGGUCAUCCUCCUCUUCAGCUUCUUUCAGCCUUCCCUAAUUCAACCACAGGGGUCAGCACGUCUGCCCAUUGGUUGGGUGUAAAUAUCUGCAUCUGCCUCUUUCAGCUGCUUUUUGAGUCUUUCAGAGGGCAGUAAUGAUAGAUCCCUUUUGGUGAGCACCCCAUAGCCUCAGUAAUAGUCUCUGGCCUUGGGACCCCCCCCCCCGCCCCUUGAGCAGAAUCCCACUUUGGGCCUGUUGCUAGACCUUCUUUUUCUUAGGCUCCUCUUCAUUUCCAUCUGGAUCCUUUUUAAUUCUUCUGCAUAUAAACACUUAGUUUGGCCAGAACUAUUUCUUGAAGAUGCUGUCUUUUUUCCAGUGCACAUUUCUGGCUUAUUUUUCAAAAAUAAGUUGUGUGGCUUUGUAUCUCCAUCUAUUAUCUCUUGGACUUAGUAUUUUUUUCUAGAUUGAACUGGGAAGGAAAACAGUACAUAGGAAUUCUUUUCCUUUUUAUUCCUGUUUUAUUGGCAUUCUCAUUUUCAUUGUGACUUUAAUAUCUUUAUGGUCUAAAACAUGAGUGAUUUUGAUUGGAUUUUCAUUGAUCUCUUUAGAGACUGUGUCUUUUUUCCUUCCAUCUGGAAAGAAACUUGACAUCACUAACAGGUUGACUUGAUAAUUCCUUAGCCAAUAUAGAUAUAUGAUGAGCUUUUGACAUUAUGAAUCCUUGUGGUCAUUGGCAAGGAAAUGCCUUGUGGAUUUUGAGAGUGCAAUCUUUGAUAUUUCCUCACAUGAGAGGAAAUACAUAAUGCAACUGCGUCCUCAGAUUCUAUACAGAGAGUGAAGAGCAGUGAGCACUCUCUGUUCACAUACAGCUAGACUGUACUUUGCUUCUUUGCCUUUCCAGUUUGAUAAAGGAUAUUGUUUAUUGCACGUUUAAGUAGCUACUUGAAUGUGUUGUCCUUUCUUCAAAAGCCCAAAUCCUCUUUGAUUUCUAAAUUCCCUCCUAUGGUUUAGAAAACAUUCACAAGUGGUCCUUUUGCAUCUGCUGUCGUGCUUUCUCAGGAGAGCAGCUAUACAUUUGCUCUGAAUUUGUGUGUUAGCGAAAUUAAGCUGGGGGGGGGGUGGGGGCACUGCUUGCUUGUCCUAACUUUCUGCUUUCCCUGCAAAAGCUGAGAAAUUUCAGCUGUGUGGAGCAUUUAAUCUGAUUUGCUAUGACAUAACUCUCCUAUGAAAUAUUAUUCUAAAUGCAAUGUUAAGGUGGGUGAAUAAGAAAGCCACAUGAGGGUCCAUGCGCUCUUCAGUCUUCCUUUGUGAUCACCUAAGCUUUUAAGUUUAAGGUCACAAACAUUUACCUCUAGAACUGAUCACACAGGCCAUCAUGUUACUUCUCGUUCUACAGCGCAAGCAAACAAGACAGAGUAAAUUAGAGGAAUAUGGCAAUAUGUGUCAUUUUAGUACUAGCACUGACUUUAGUUCUUAUUUGUAUCUUGCAAUACUCUUUUUCAAACUGUCUCAAGACCAGGCAACUCAACUUGUUGUUUCAGCUGACUGCUGAAGGCCACAUCUGUAACAUUUUCAGAAUGAAAAGCUUACGUAAGUUGGAAAUGGUCUGUGUGCGAACCACUGAGCAGAAACGAGGAAUUUAUCUAGGUAAUGACCCGUAUCAGUACAAACACCAAAGAUGGGCUGAAUCUCUUUGGCAGGGGACUCUAGUAUGCUGCUUGUAUUUACCUUUCCACAAACAACCUAAUCCAUACACACUGGCCACACCAGCUUGCUGUUGAUUUUCGUCAUUCUAAACCUGGAGAUCCUGAACAUACAGAGCUCCUCAGCUUUGGAACAGCUGUUGUACUUUCCAUAUCCCAGUUCUCUUUCUUUCUGUUGGCCUCCAUGCUCCCUUUAGACUACAAUACUCACUUGUUUAAAACAAAUAUGAGCAACACUGUUGUCCAUCCCUUCUUAUUCUACUUCUUCAAUAAUGUAAAUGAAGUCACAGUGCUAUAAGAACAUCUCUGGAUUUACAAAUUCAGUAUGCAUCAUCACAGACUUUAGCUCAUGUCCUCAGUGGUUUUUGACAUUGGACUUUUACUUUCACUCAAGUUAAACGUUGGAGCUUAAAUACUGAGUAAGUAAAAUAAUAAAAAAAAAAUUCUCACUUCUGAAAGUUGCUUCAAAAUAAAAGUCAUGUGGUCUUUGCUGAAAUCAAUAAGCAAUCAGUGCAUCCUGCUGGCCACAGGUGGGACUCCAAUAUCAUCCUUAGAUAUAUGGGUCACAAAAUGUCUGCUAAGUGUGAUUCUAUCCAUUUAUCUAUAAACUACACAAGGGCAGAAUAAAUCAUUUGUAUUCUUUUAACAUCAAUCUUUGUGUAUAUGCUGAUCCAAAUCAGACAUCCUGUAAAUUCUUGCCAUAAGAAUAAUC
rnacentral:lncRNA from 1 species